ensembl:lncRNA
CCCAAAUCCUAUACCCAUGUAAACAAAUGAUAAAUCAUAUGUUUUCUUCUGGAUUUCUACUCCCAUAUUUCUUUCUCAGAUGUGAAUAGCAUUCUUUCUCAUACAUCCCUCAGAACGGUCCUAGGUCAUUGCAUUGCUUUUAGUAGCAAAUCCAAUUACAAUUGAUUGUCCCAUAGUGUUUCAGUUACUAGAUAUAAUGUUUUUCUGGUUCUGCUUAUUUCACUCCACAUCAGUUCAUGGAAGUCUUUCCAGUUCAUAUAGAAAUCCAUUGAUUCAUCAUUCCUUAUAGCACAAUAGUAUUCCAUCACCAUCUUAUACCACAAUUUGUUUAGCCAUUCCCCAAUCCAGGGACAUCUAAGGGUUGUUUUUAAAAAAAAUUCUAGUCGACAGACAAGGAAAUUGAGGCUUAUGAAGGUAAAGUUUGACUUGCUACUCACUUGCCCCGUAAUUCUGAAUGGCGGUCAUUGGCUUGUUUGAGUCUCCAGUUUCCUUACCUGUAAAAUGGUAAUACUGAUGUCCAUGCCCCAUCUGGCUCACUAUAACGAUCUCACACUGUCCUUGUGAGGUCACACAGAUCACAAGUGGCAGCAUGUGAACCCUAGCUCCUCUGACUCCAAAUGCAUUGUGCUCUUUUUACAGCCCUCGCUGGGGGCAUAUAUAUGCUUUCCUCUAAAGCAGCAUCUGCUCAGGGCUGAGUGUGGUGUGGACUCUUCUGAUGUGGGAGUUGAGAGGGCAGAGGGCUGAGGUGGUUAGGGAUGGCUUUUGGAAAGAGCUGAGAGUUCAUUCAAGCUAAGCCUGGAAGGAUGAAUGAGAUUUGGAAGCAGGUUCUGAUUGAGGGAACUUUAGGUUGACUGCUCUGGAGAUGGCUGAAGGAGAGCAGGGAUGCAACACAGUCCUUGUAUUCAGAGGACACCCACAAAAGCAGGCAGCAAAGAUGGAUGGUAAUAAAGCUUCAAUAUCAAGUGACUCCCCACUUGCUUCUAACCCAGGUGUCUUGGCAGAACUAAAAGGAAGCAUGGCUUGUGAUCACAGCUCAGUCAUACAAGGAAAGAUUUAG